rnacentral:rRNA from 1 species
CCUACGGGAGGCAGCAGUGAGGAAUAUUGGUCAAUGGGCUUACGCCUGAACCAGCCAAGUCGCGUGAGGGAAGACUGCCCUAUGGGUUGUAAACCUCUUUUGUCAGGGAGCAACGCCGGCUACGUGUAGCCGGACUGAGAGUACCUGAAGAAAAAGUAUCGGCUAACUCCGUGCCAGCAGCCGCGGUAAUACGGAGGAUGCGAGCGUUAUCCGGAUUUAUUGGGUUUAAAGGGUGCGUAGGCGGACUGCCAAGUCAGCGGUAAAAUCGCGGGGCUCAACCUCGCUCCGCCGUUGAAACUGGCGGUCUUGAGUGGGCGAGAAGUAUGCGGAAUGCGUGGUGUAGCGGUGAAAUGCAUAGAUAUCACGCAGAACUCCGAUUGCGAAGGCAGCAUACCGGCGCCCAACUGACGCUGAAGCACGAAAGCGUGGGUAUCGAACAGGAUUAGAUACCCCAGUAGUC